rnacentral:tRNA from 1 species
GGGGGUAUAGCUCAGUUGGUAGAGCGCUGCCUUUGCACGGCAGAAGUCAGUGGUUCGAGUCCGCUUACCUCCA